rnacentral:rRNA from 1 species
CCAAUAGCGUAUAUUAAAGUUGUUGCAGUUAAAAAGCUCGUAGUUGAAUUUCGGGAUUGACACAUCGGUCGUGCCUUAAGGGGUAUGAACUGGUGUAGUCAAUUUCUCACCUUCUGGAGAACCGCGAUGCCCUUAAUUGGGUGUCACGGGGAACCAGGACCUUUACUUUGAAAAAAUUAGAGUGUUUAAAGCAGGCAUUUUGCUUGAAUACAUUAGCAUG